GCCAGCGUACUCUCUGGAGUGACGGGUACACUGUGGGGACCGCCGCUGCUAAAGCGGAGGAAGGAAUGGGCAACGGUAGGUCAGUAUGCCCCGAAUAUCCCGGGCUACACGCGAGCUACAAUGGUUGGUACAAUGGGUAUCUACCCCGAAAGGGGACGGGAAUCUCCUAAAACCAAUCUUAGUUCGGAUUGAGGGCUGCAACUCGCCCUCAUGAAGCUGGAAUCCGUAGUAAUCGCGUUUCAACAGAACGCGGUGAAUACGUCCCUGCUCCUU
rnacentral:rRNA from 1 species